UGAAAUAGAACCUGAAACCGUGUACGUACAAGCAGUAGGAGCACCUUCGUGGUGUGACUGCGUACCUUUUGUAUAAUGGGUCAGCGACUUAUAUUCAGUGGCAAGGUUAACCGUAUAGGGGAGCCGUAGCGAAAGCGAGUCUUAACUGGGCGCUCAGUCUCUGGAUAUAGACCCGAAACCGGGUGAUCUAGCCAUGGGCAGGUUGAAGGUUGAGUAACAUCAACUGGAGGACCGAACCGACUAAUGUUGAAAAAUUAGCGGAUGACUUGUGGCUAGGGGUGAAAGGCCAAUCAAACUCGGAGAUAGCUGGUUCUCCCCGAAAGCUAUUUAGGUAGCGCCUCGGACGAAUACUACUGGGGGUAGAGCACUGUUAAGGCUAGGGGGUCAUCCCGACUUACCAACCCUUUGCAAACUCCGAAUACCAGUAAGUACUAUCCGGGAGACACACGGCGGGUGCUAACGUCCGUCGUGGAGAGGGAAACAACCCAGACCGCCAGCUAAGGUCCCAAAGUAUUGCUAAGUGGGAAACGAUGUGGGAAGGCUCAGACAGCUAGGAUGUUGGCUUAGAAGCAGCCAUCAUUUAAAGAAAGCGUAAUAGCUCACUAGUCGAGUCGGCCUGCGCGGAAGAUGUAACGGGGCUAAGCA
rnacentral:rRNA from 1 species